UUGAGCACAGUGAGCAUAAUGAGCGUGAGCAUAGUGAGUGAGCACAGACCUUUCCUUCAAAAAUUUCUUCCACGCUUAUUUUUCUCUCUGCGUCUCAUUUUGGUUCAUCGCUUCUCCCAGAGAGCCACAGACCUUUCCUUCAAAAAUCUUUCCAACAGCACCCAACAGUUUCCUCUUCUAUUGUCAUUCUCCCACAUACAGGUUAUCCAUUGUCGCUCGCACACAGAGGUGUCUCAUUGCUCGUUCACGCGAAGGCACACGGCACACACAAAGAAAUCUUCUUCCUGUUGAGGUUGAAAGGCCAGAGAGAUAGAGGAACUCCUUCGGCGCCGGCCAGUGCAGACAAAUACCCACCCACGGUCCCUGCGAGCACCCAACGGAGAAAUUUAGAAUAUACAUGACUCGUACUUGAGGAGGUUCAUCUUCACAUCGCGGAGAGAGUUCGUCACAGGGUGAGAGAUGGAGACCUACUGCAGAAGAAGACAUGGAGCAGUUGAGUCUAAUAUUCAUGUUGAGGACCAUAGAGAUGUGAGGUUUCACGAGGAUGUAGUUGAGGAUCAUGCAUUUGAGGAACAUGAUAUUGAAUAGGAGGAGGAUCAUGAGGAUGUUGCUGAAGGUGGAACGGGAGGAAAUCAAGUUCUCCCAUGGGAAGAAGUUAAACAGAUUAGGAUCCUGCCACGAGGGCAUUAGAGACAUCGUUAAUGGUUCUGGUCUGAUGUCUCUGGUCCGUCUAAGUAUGCAUCCACAUCUUCCCCUAUCGAGUCCAAUAAGAUUUACUCGUUCUAAUUCUUAUGUAUAUCUGGAUACUCGUCGAACAAGUCUUUUGUA